CGAAGCAACGCGAAGAACCUUACCGAGGUCUUGACAUCCCGAUGCUUAUUUCUAGAGAUAGAAAGUUACUUCGGUACAUCGGUGACAGGUGGUGCAUGGUUGUCGUCAGCUCGUGUCGUGAGAUGUUGGGUUAAGUCCCGCAACGAGCGCAACCCCUAUUGUUAGUUGCCAUCAUUCAGUUGGGCACUCUAGCGAGACUGCCGGUAAUAAACCGGAGGAAGGUGGGGAUGACGUCAAAUCAUCAUGCCCCUUAUGACCUGGGCUACACACGUGCUACAAUGGUUGGUACAACGAGUUGCGAGUCGGUGACGGCGAGCUAAUCUCUUAAAGCCAAUCUCAGUUCGGAUUGUAGGCUGCAACUCGCCUACAUGAAGUCGGAAUCGCUAGUAAUCGCGGAUCAGCACGCCGCGGUGAAUACGUUCCCGGGCCUU
rnacentral:rRNA from 1 species